rnacentral:rRNA from 1 species
GGUGAUGUCAAGUCCUCAUGGCCCUUAUAGGUGGGGCUACACACGUCAUACAAUGGAUGGUACAAAGGGUCGCCAACCCGCGAGGGGGAGCCAAUCCCAUAAAGCCAUUCGUAGUCCGGAUCGCAGUCUGCAACUCGACUGCGUGAAGUCGGAAUCGCUAGUAAUCGUGGAUCAGAAUGUCACGGUGAAUACGUUCCCGGGUCUU